rnacentral:misc_RNA from 1 species
AAGUCGUAACAAGGUUUCCGUAGGUGAACCUGCGGAAGGAUCAUUAUCGAGUUAGGGGGCUUGUCCCCCGAACCUCCAACCCCAUGCGUACCUUACCUUUGUUGCUUUGGCGGGCCCGUGGACCCGUUCCGCCGCAGCUUCGGCUGCGAGCGCCCGCCAGAGACCCAACCAAACUCGUUUAAUUAGUGACGUCUGAGAAAAACAUAAUCGCAAAAA